GUUAGCGGCGGGCUUAACACAUGCAAGUCGAGCGAGAAAGCCACUUCGGUGGUGAUUAAAGCGGCGGACGGGUGAGUAACACGUGGGCAAUCUACCCUUCGAUGGGGGACAACAUUCCGAAAGGAGUGCUAAUACCGCAUAAGUUUCUUCGGUCUACGGACUGAAGGAGGAAAGCAGGCCUCUACUUGUAAGCCUGUGUCGAAGGAGGAGCUCGCGUCGCAUCAGCUUGUUGGUGGGGUAAUGGCCUACCAAGGCAAAGACGCGUAGCUGGUCUGAGAGGAUGAUCAGCCACACUGGGACUGAGACACGGCCCAGACUCCUACGGGAGGCAGCAGUGGGGAAUAUUGGACAAUGGGGGAAACCCUGAUCCAGCCACGCCGCGUGAGUGAUGAAGGCCCUUGGGUCGUAAAGCUCUGUGGGGAGAGACGAAGAAGUCGUAGUUAAUACCUGCGACGGUGACGGUAUCUCCUUAGCAAGCACCGGCUAACUCCGUGCCAGCAGCCGCGGUAAUACGGAGGGUGCAAACGUUGUUCGGAAUCAUUGGGCGUAAAGCGAGCGUAGGCGGUCUGAAAAGUCGGGUGUGAAAGCCCAGGG
rnacentral:rRNA from 1 species